rnacentral:sRNA from 1 species
GGGGAUGCGGGUGUCACUGGCCGUAAGAUUAUUGUAGACACCUAUGGCGGCUGGGGGGCUCAUGGUGGUGGGGCCUUCUCUGGGAAGGACUACACCAAGGUGGACCGCUCAGCCGCAUACGCUGCCCGCUGGGUGGCCAAGUCUCUGGUGAAAGCAGGGCUCUGCCGGAGAGUGCUUGUCCAGGUUUCCUAUGCCAUUGGUGUGGCCGAGCCGCUGUCCAUUUCCAUCUUCACCUACGGAACCUCUCAGAAGACAGAGCGAGAGCUGCUGGAUGUGGUGCAUAAGAACUUCGACCUCCGGCCGGGCGUCAUUGUCAGGGAUUUGGACUUGAAGAAGCCCAUCUACCAGAAGACAGCAUGCUACGGCCAUUUCGGAAGAAGCGAGUUCCCAUGGGAGGUUCCCAGGAAGCUUGUAUUUUAGAGCCAGGAGGAGCUGGGCCUGGUCUCACCCUGGAGGCACCUGGUGGCCAUGCUUCUCUUCCCCAGACGCCUGGCUGCUGAUUGCCUUCCCCACCCACCAACCCUCGGGGCAAAGCCAGGUCCCUCUCAUUUAGCCUGUCCUGUCAUCAUCAUGGCCGGCUGGAGGCAGGGGCUUCCUGGUGCUGGAGGUUGGAUCUUGAUGCUGAGUGCAUUUGGAGGGAGUGAGUGGCCCUUUCGGAUCCAGGGAGGCUGGUCCUAAGGCCUCAUGUUAAAUAGGCGGGGCUUGCCUUCUGGUGUUGGACAAGCUGCUGAGAUGUCAUGAGGAGAUUCUGCCUUUGCCAGAUGAAAGGAAAUUAAGGCAACAAAAGAAG